UCCGUUUGGUUGUGGUAGUUGUAUUGGCCUAAGUUGUUACAGCACAAGGAGAAAAACAGACUGACCAAAAUGACUCAGCUGCGGAUGAGGAAACUGGCUCUCAGGACAAGGGAGAAGCAGUGGUCUUGGAUAAGGUUACCCAUCCAUUUUUCCGUUUUGAUCAGCUGGUCUGUCUCCUGAUCAUGCCAUCGAGACUGAAUUGCUAGAGCAUAUUAUUCGAAUUCAUCAUUAAUUGAACAUAGAAAUGUUCCAUAUCCUUGUUUCAACUCAUUUUCCUAAAUGGCUGAUGAGAUGAAUUCAAGUGUAAUCAUCCAUUGAUAUCCAAUGUUAAUACAUUAUUCUCUAAA